rnacentral:lncRNA from 1 species
UCCUGCAGGUCCUGCAGGUCACUCUCAGGUGAGCUGGCAGACACCCCGCCCACCUCGCCCACCCUGGAGAACAGGCUGGCCUCAGGGCCAGCCGGUCGCCCACCUGCUGGCCACUCCUCUCUGUCCCGCUCCCCUUCAGAUGACCUCCCCACCCCCACUCUUUCUAGCCUUGCUUUUCCAUUAAAAGAAAAACCUUCCCCAACCCUGCGUGCUCACACGCUACUGUCAGGGUGUCCCCCGCACGGCAAGGCUCCCCGCACCCCCCCUUCCUGCUCAGAGAAAUCCCUCCAAACAAAGUCCCGCUUUCCUAAGUCUGGACUUGGGUUUUUCGCUGGACAGAGGGAAAGCCCUUGCGUGGGAGGCCCCGAGCGUUGUGGUUUUCGGGAAGGCUCGGGUCUUUCUGGCUCGGCGGCUUCCCCCCAUCACGAGGAAGCACAGGGCCCCGCCUGCGCCCCCGUUUCCACUGAGGAGCCGGCUUUGCACGGAGCCUCUUCUUCCGCAUCCCCGCCUUCCCCGCAGGUCCUCCAUCCUCUCCCUCCACCUCACCCCGACUCUGCCUCUUCCUGUCCCAGCUGGUCCAGGACGUCGGCCGGGAUGUGGCAGCCAGGCCGCCGCACUCCCCACGUGGGCAGCGCCAGGCCCACAUCGGCCCCCAGCUGCCUUCUGCAUCUCUGUGACAGGGACAACGACUGGGCCUCUCCCCGACUUCCGUGACCCCGGAGGGGGCUGGCCCCCCUCCGGAUUGGCUGCCCUCGGUCAGGCCCUCACCUCUGGUCCCACCUGCUGCCGGGUGAGGUCACAUGAUGAGAAACACAGCUGCUCCGACAGCAGAGCAGCGGGAGGUGGUUCUGUUCAAAGGUGGAGCCAGCAUCAAUGGGCAUUGCCACUCAAGCGGACUUCAAGACAGCGGGCAAGUCUCUUUAUGAACCUUAAGAACCACUCCUUGGAGGCCCGUUGUGAACGCAACCGCGGCUGCUUGAUUUGUUCAUUUCUCACUCUCCCAGGAUAUCUCCUGUUUUAUCCUUUUCUGUUUUACAUGCUGCAUGGAGAACAACUGCAAGGGACUUCACCCCGUAUGGUCCCCCUAGAGAGUUCCAUGACGAGUCCAAAUAAGGGGAAAUCUGUCCACUACAUUGCUUGGUCUGGAAUAAUUCUUCUGCGUUUAAAAAAAAAAAAAAUCUGUUUUUUGUUUGUCUUUUGUUUUUGUUUUUUCUGGGGCUGCAGCAAACAGAACCCCCCUUUUUUCGUUUCUCAAUUUCAGCAGGUCAGGAUGCCACGCAGUGCGCCGAGUCAGAGGAGGCUGCGCUCCCUCUGAUGGGGUUGGCGGUGUGUUCAGUCAUAUGAAGGCAGCAGGCACAGUGAAAUAAUGAGGAUGAGCCGUGCAGACGAGUGGCCCCGGAGGGACCAAAUCAGAGGUUCCCAAUCAGGGGCCCACAGACGAGGCGAGACGCCGCAUUCAGGACUGACCACUGAAAGGCAUGUUGCGGAUGAUGAAAAUGUCAGGGCUCCCCGGCUCCCCGGGAUUUAUAAUCGGCCUGCGAGGUAACACUUGUCAGCUGGUCAGUUCCUGCUGCUAAGAGGUUUUGCUUGACAGUUACUGAGGUCUUUGAUAAAUAAAAUAUAGGAAAACAGAUGAAUUAUUACUUAAUAAAUGCAGUGGUGUUUGGGAGUUUUUUAUAGAGUGCAGGGGUUGGAAACUGGCAGCCUAUGGGGCUUCUUCUCCGUGGUCUGCGCCGGGUUUGGGGUUUGGUUUGACUUGUUGAAGCCAGCAUUAGAGAGUGUAGAUCCCCCCCCCCCGCCGACGCACACACAGACAUACCCCUCAAAGACAGAACUACGCCUUCUCUUAAAAACUGGUCACACUGGCCACACGUCUGGGUUGGGGGUGGAAGGUCGGCAAGGGGCUGUAGCGAGUACCAGCUGCUGCUCGUGGAUGGGGCAGGUGGGCGCCAGCCCCUCCCAACUUUGCAGUGGCCACUCGGUGAUGGUGGCCAUGCAGCAGGCACCUGCGCUGUGUCCUCUCACCUCCCACCUGGGAAGACAAGGAGCAAGAACCACGGGGCAUCCUGAGUGGGCUUGUGUGUGUAUGUGUCUUUUGCUUUUGCUUCCGGCACGUCUUACUCGCAGACUUUAUCUACUGGCUUCUCUAGGGAGGGGCCAGCACGCUGUGCCCAUGGGCCCAGUCUGGCCCAACACCUGUGUUCCUAAAUAAAGUUUUAUUAGGACAUCCUGAGGCUCGGUUGUUUGCAGACUGUCCAUGGUUUCGUUCACAUUUCAGCGGCAGAGACGAGCAGCUGCACGGAGCCUGGCGGGGCUGCCAAGCCUAAAAUAUCUAUAAUUUGGCCCUGAACCAACAGUUCGCUGCCUCUGCUCUAGGCACUUGAGCUCCUGGCCCCGGGGGGGAGGGACUCACCCGACUGGCUUUUUAACCAUUAAUUUAAUGACUUAAAUUCUCUGAGCUUCAAGUGUCCCGUCUCUAAAACGGGGCAGAAUGAGAUUCUGUUUCCAUGGGCUUGUUGGGGGAAUUCAGUGAGAUGAAACAUGUGCCUGGUGUGCAAUGGAGUCACAUGGACAAAUGCCUGGUUAAGAAGAUGUGGUUUAUAGACACAAUGGAAUACUACUCGGCCAUAAAAAGGAACGAAAUCAUGCCAUUUGCAGCAACAUGGAUGGAACUAGAGACUCUCAUACUAAGUAAGUCAGAAAGAGAAAGACAAAGACAGAUAUCACUUGUAUCUGGAAUCUAAUAUACAGCACAGAUGAAUCUUUCCACAGAAAAGAAAAUCAUGGACUUGGAGAACAGACUUGUGGCUGCCAAAGGGGAAGGAAAGGAUUGAGAUGGAUGGGGAAUUUGGGGUUAAUAGAUGCAAAUAGCCUUUAAAAUGGAUAAGCAAUGAGAUCCUGCUGUACAGCACAGGGAACUAUAUCUAGUCACUUAUGAUGGCGCAUGAUCAUGUGAGAAAAAAGAAUGCAUACAUGUAUGUGUGACUGGGUCACCUCACUGUACAGUGGAGAAUUGACAGAACACGGUAAACCAGCUAUAAUAAAAAAUAAAAAUCAUUGUAAAAAAAAAAAAGGAGGCAACACUGCCCAAGCUGCAAUUUAGCUCCAGAGAAAGAACGUGAUAAGGACACAUGCUGGGGGCACCAGGCUGGCCAGCUCGGGCCUCUGGGUCUCCACGUCUAUAGCUCCAUAUCCCAUGUUUGUGCAAAACUCCAGAGAGACUGAUGAGAAAGCUGGCACCCGGACAGCCUUUACUCAGAGCUUCAGGUGGGUCCUUUCUGCUUUCAUCCACGUGCACCAGGGAAGCCUGGCCCAGGGAAGAAGCAAGUGGGGACAAGGGUUGGGGGCGGGGCUUGUAUUCUUGAUAGUGGGUCAUGAGUGUGGAGGAACCAAUGACUGAAUAGAGGGUCUCCUGCCUAUUUAUUAUUUUUUUUUCCUGCUGUACAGCAAGGGGAUCAAGUUACUCUUACAUGUAUACAUUUUUCCCCCACCCUUUGUUCUGUUGCAGCAUGAGUAUCUAGACAUAGUUCUCAAUGCUACUCAGCAGGAUCUCCUUGUAAAUCUAUUCCAAGUUGUGUCUGAUAAGCCCAAGCUCCCGAUCCCUCCCACUCCCUCCCUCUCCCGUCGGGCAGCCACAAGUCUCUUCUCCAAGUCCAUGAUUUUGUAAGAAAAGUAUUUACUUACAUAGAGUCGAGGUAUAAAUCCCCCAUCUCAUCAUCCCCUCCUUCCCCAGCAUCACUUGCAGCACCCCGACUCCUAUCACCCUUAAUAUCUGCAACAGCACCACUAUCGUCCAACACACAUUUAUUGAGCACCGACUGUUAGAGUCAGCAGAGGGGCCAGGAGAGCUCCUGGAGCUUACCUUGCAGUGAGGGGAGCCAACAACCAGAACAGAGAGAACAGGAGCUAAUGCUGUGCAGGGAAGCGAGGUGGGGUGCUGUCGGGGAGUAAUCAGGGAAGCACUUUCUUUUCCAGGGGAGCCACUUGAGCAGCGACCUGAAAGAUGCGUGGAAGCAUCUGUGAGGAUCGGGGGGACCAGCGCCGAAGGUAAGGAAGGGGGCAAGUUCAAAGGUCACAUGGCAGCCCUGGCAUGUUAGAAGGAGGUCACUGUGGCUACAGCCUUGUGGUCCUUGACCAGCAUCCAGGUCACCCGGGGGCUUGUCAGAAAUGCAGAGCUUGGUCCCCGCCAAGAGCCCGUUGGGUCAGGACCAGCAUGUUCAUGAGACCCGCAGGUGAUCUGCGUGCACAUCCCAGCUGGAGAAACCCUGGGACAGAGCACAGCCGGACAGGCGCAAAGGGGCUGCAGAACAAGGAUGGGGAGGGAGACAGGACCCAAAACACACAGGGCCACCCCUGCCAAGGCAAAACGGGUGAGAGGCCACCCUCUGUCCUUUGUGGCUUGUGUUCUAUGAUUCCAAUCACCCAAAAAGUAUUGACUGAGUGUGCCCUUUCCGUGAGGUACUACUCUAGACGUGGGGCAGGGGUGUGCUGGUUAGUGUUUAACAACUGGCUCUAUGGGAGGAAUUCCAUCAGUACUUCCAUCUGUGUUAAGACAGAAGGAGAACAACAAAGGCACACACUGGAACUUCACCUCUUCCUCCGUGACCCGAGCCACCGCUUGGCUGGGUCUGAUAACAGCUACCAAAUACUGGAAGACUAUUUCUUUAAUUCUCUGUGCUAUUGUCAAUUUAACACAACACACGUUUAAGUUUAAUCUACCCUAUCAACCUUUUGGGCUUAAAUCUGGAUGAUCGACCAAACAAUACACCAAGCUCUGAUCUGUAGUGUGUGCUGAUUCCUGUGGUGUAAAUACUCCCACCACAGGUGGCGUCAAGCUGCCAAUACGACGUCGCACAGCACCGUGCUACACAGGGUGUCCACCCUCCAGAUAAAGAGAUGUGAACAACCCCAAGAGCAGAGCUAAGAGUACAAUCACUAGGAAGUGAUGAGUUUUGAGUAUUCAUUAUCUUUGAAGUAUAACAAAGUUUUUAUAAUUUAAUUUUUAAUAAUGUCUAUAUUUAACCACCAGCUUACAAUAUUUCUUAAAAUGUAACAGUUGGCUCUCCCAAGCUGGAGGAGGAGCUGGCUCCAAGUGUGGUCCAUGACCAACAUCUGUGUCACCUGGGGGCUUGUCAGAAAGGCAGUGCAUGGUCCCCUCCAUGGGCCUGUUAGGCCAGUGCUGGGUGGGGAUUUUAAUCAUGCACGGGGCAGAGAGAGCCCAUCUUUUGACCUUACAGCUUCGUGAGGGAUCGUGUGCUUUAUUAAACCCAGCAUCCACUUGUCAAAAGGCAGAGGGUGGGAGAUGAAAUGGUCCCACAGGUUGUUCCAGCCUCCAGUCUGGUCCAGGAAUGCCUCUUCUUCAGGGUCCUCCCCAAGAACCCAGACUCCAGAGCUCCUGUGAUGCCCACCUCCCUCCACACAGUGAGAUACCCACCAGGACAGGAGAGGAAGAGGAACCAGGAGACUGGAAUGAAGAGUAUUUUGCAGAGAGAACCCUAGGGAAUAAUCACCUUGACGGACCCUUCCCAGAUCUGGGCCACCACAUGCAGGAGACAAUGGCAGGGCGUGUAAGGUCUUGAAGAAGGGCCCAGCCUAGACUGAGGUCAAAACUCUUAGGCCUGGAGCCAGGAAGGGAACUACCUUAGACAUCGAUUACCUACCAUGGGCAGGUUGAAUGGUUCAUGACGCACCUUUGACCCUCAAACAACCUGGUGGGGUUGGCAUCUUUGCCAGUGUCAACUGAUGGAGAAACAGAGGCUCAGAGGGAUUGAGGAGCUUACCCAAGAUCACACAGACACAAGAUGGCAGGGCUGAGACUCAAACACAGGACGUGCACAGCCCUUUGCCCGUCUGGAAAAGGCGCCAAGGACACAGGAGACCCACGUCUCCUGAUUGAUGACACUGGGGCCACGCCAAUAGGCAGUCCUGUCCCAGGCCCCUAAGUGAGGCAGGGCCAUUCCUGGUUGUCUGGAAUGGCUCUCUCUACCCACUCCGGGUCCCCUUUAUGGCUCGUUCCUUCCCUCCCAGGUUCAGUGUUAUUUCCCUUUUGUGAUUGUUUUCCUGGAAAUGCUGCUGGAGACACCACCCCUGUCCCAGCCACCAUCCUUGUGACAUUCAAUUAUCCUGGUUUAUUAGGCUCUUUAAAGCUACUUUACUGCUCUCUCCUUGCCAUGACCCUAAUCUUCAUUUACCUCUGGCUUUCUCCGGGGUUAUUGAUCAUCAAGAGAAAGGUUGCCACAGACGCAAAAGAAACAGGGACACGGGCACGAGAAGGCUGCCUUCUUCCUGGCUGUCAAGUUUGCUUCUACCAACAGCACAUUGAUAGAUGGGGGUGGAGGGGCCUCAGCCUGUAUCCUGUCUCUUUUCAAGCUCCUACUUACCAGACCCUCGAUUCAGAAAUAACAACCAUAUAAUAACAUUCUCUACUAGUUUAAGAUUUCCCAGUGCCCUUUCAUAUGCGUAAACAUCUUAGUUAAUUCUCAAAACAGUUCUGAAGUGCAGGUGUGUCAUUAUGCCCAUUUACAAGUGAAGAAAUGGAGAGAACAGAAAGGAUGUGCCUGAACUUCCCACCCUGGACAAGAUAGUGAAUCCUCAUUCCUCCCGGGUCCUCCUUCUUACAACUGAAAAUCCCUGGAUGUUACAGAGCAAAGAAACAUAACAAGAGUUCCCCUCUCCCCUCUCCCCUCUCCCAGUGGGUGUCAGCAGGGCUUCUACUCCCUACCUGCAACAACAAAGCAGAGGGAUCCAGCUCUUCGCUCUUUUCCCAUCCCUGUGCCAAGGAAGCCAAGCACAGGGCUCAGAGCUGAUAAGGUGGUGUGAGCUGGUUCUCCACUCUCACUGGAAAGGUGUCAGCAGAGCCCAGGGGGACGCUAACGGCCAUCUACCCAGCUGCAAUGAGGCAGUGAGAGUGAGCAUUCACCACUGCCCAGAUGGUGUCAGGGGAUUCAGUGGGAAGCUGAUCAUACAACCCAUCCAGCCUUCAUACUACAUCUCAAUGGGAGCUGCCUGCUCAAAAAGAAAAACGGAACAGGAGCAAGGGUCUCGUAAGAUAAUACUCCAAAUGUCCAGGAUAGAAUGGAAAAAUCACCCCCAGGAUCAAGAACCAGGAAAAUCACAACUUGGAUUAACAAAGACACUCAACAGGGAUCAAUACAGAAAUGAAUCAGAGGUUGGGAUGAUCAAGAAUGCAAAGGCAGCUGUCAUAAAAAUGCCUCGGCAAGCCCUCAUGAAUUCUUUUGAAACAAACAAAAAUAGAAACUCUCAGUGAAGAAACAGAAGUUAUAAAAAGAAGACCCAAACAACAAGGUCCUACUGUAGAGCACAGGAAACUAUAUUUAAUAUCCCAUGACAAACCGUAAGGGAAAAGAACACGAAAAAGAAUAUAUACGUGUAGCUGCAUCACUUUGCUGUACAGCAGAAGUGAGCACACUGCAAAUCAACUACAAUACUUUUUUAAAAAAUGACACAUCAAAGUCAUGUGAAAAUAAACACAGCCAUAAAA